UUAACAUUACAGUGUAUGGCUUGACAAUUAUGAGGAGAUGGAAUCAAUAUGCAGCAAAAGAGGACAAAAACUAAUUGAAGUUUUUGGGCUAGAUGUCAAAUGUUUAUACAUACAGAUUACCAAGUAAUUGUACGUUACAUUUUGAAGAUACGUAUAUAUGGAGUAUUAGUUAAAACUGUAACAAGCAGGGGUGCCUGGGUGGCUCAGUUGAUUGAGCGUCCGACUUCGCUCAGGUCAUGAUAUCGCAGCUCACAAGUUCGGGCACUGCAUCGGGCUCUAUGCGGACAGCUUAGAGCCGGGAGCCUGCUUCAGAUUCUGUGUCUCCCUCUCUCUGUCCCCCCCACUUGUGUUCUCUCUCUCUCUC